CAGGAUGAACGCUGGCGGCGUGCCUAACACAUGCAAGUCGAACGGAAGAUUAUCGCUGAUGAAGCUUCGGCAGAAUCUUGAUGAUCUUAGUGGCGGACGGGUGAGUAACGCGUGGGCAACCUGCCUCGUACUGGGGGAUAACAGCUGGAAACGACUGUUAAUACCGCAUAAGCGCACGGUGUCGCAUGACACAGUGUGAAAAACUCCGGUGGUACGAGAUGGGCCCGCGUCAGAUUAGCCAGUUGGUGGGGUAACGGCCUACCAAAGCAACGAUCUGUAGCCGGACUGAGAGGUCGGACGGCCACAUUGGGACUGAGACACGGCCCAAACUCCUACGGGAGGCAGCAGUGGGGGAUAUUGCACAAUGGGCGAAAGCCUGAUGCAGCGAACCGCCGCGUGAGUGAAGAAGUAUUUCGGUAUGUAAAGCUCUAUCAGCAGGGAAGAAAGACCCUUUAAGGGAGAUGACGGUACCUGACUAAGAAGCCCCGGCUAACUACGUGCCAGCCGCGGC
rnacentral:rRNA from 1 species